UCCAGACUCCUACGGGAGGCAGCAGUGGGGAAUAUUGCACAAUGGGGGAAACCCUGAUGCAGCAACGCCGCGUGAGUGAAGAAGUAUUUCGGUAUGUAAAGCUCUAUCAGCAGGGAAGAGAAUGACGGUACCUGACUAAGAAGCCCCGGCUAACUACGUGCCAGCAGCCGCGGUAAUACGUAGGGGGCGAGCGUUAUCCGGAUUUACUGGGUGUAAAGGGAGCGUAGACGGUUCUGCAAGUCUGAAGUGAAAGCCCGUGGCUUAACCGCGGAACGGCUUUGGAAACUGUGGAACUGGAGUGCUGGAGGGGCAAGCGGAAUUCCUAGUGUAGCGGUGAAAUGCGUAGAUAUUGGGAGGAACACCAGUGGCGAAGGCGGCCUACUGGACGGUGACUGACGCUGAGGCUCGAAAGCGUGGGUAUCGAACAGGAUUAGAUACCCUGGUAA
rnacentral:rRNA from 1 species